rnacentral:sRNA from 1 species
AUCUAGCCCUGAUAGAAAUGAAAAUAAAAAAACUUCCAGUGUUUGGAAGUUUUUUUAUUGUAAUGAAUAGCAGGAAAAUGG